ensembl:snRNA U5 U5 spliceosomal RNA
UAGCUCAGGUUUCCCUUCAUUCAGGCACUAAUGUUUCACCUUUUACUGAAGAUUUCCAGGAAGGGGAACAUUGACGAGGUCUUAUUUUUGAAGGCUCUGCUUUGGCAGAGCU